rnacentral:rRNA from 1 species
GAAUUUGAUCGUGGCUCAGAAUCAACGCUGGCGGCGUGCCUAACACAUGCAAGUCGAACGCGAAAGCCCCGCAAGGGGUCAGUAGAGUGGCAAACGGGUGAGUAACACGUGGGUGAUCUGCCCUGCACUUUGGGAUAAGCCUGGGAAACUGGGUCUAAUACCGAAUAGGACUCCGGACUGCAUGGUCUGGGGUGGAAAGCUUUUGCGGUGUGGGGUGGGCCCGCGGCCUAUCAGCUUGUUGGUGGGGUGAUGGCCUACCAAGGCGACGACGGGUAGCCGGCCUGAGAGGGUGACCGGCCACACUGGGACUGAGAUACGGCCCAGACUCCUACGGGAGGCAGCAGUGGGGAAUAUUGCACAAUGGGCGCAAGCCUGAUGCAGCGACGCCGCGUGAGGGAUGACGGCCUUCGGUUGUAACCUACUUCUACGCACAGACGAAGACGCAAGUGACGGUACGUGCAGAAGAAGGACCGG